rnacentral:rRNA from 1 species
UGGGGAGUACGACCGCAAGGUUGAAACUCAAAGGAAUUGACGGGGGCCCGCACAAGCGGUGGAGCAUGUGGUUUAAUUCGAAGCAACGCGAAGAACCUUACCAGGUCUUGACAUCCUUUGACCACUCUGGAGACAGAGCUUUCCCUUCGGGGACAAAGUGACAGGUGGUGCAUGGUUGUCGUCAGCUCGUGUCGUGAGAUGUUGGGUUAAGUCCCGCAACGAGCGCAACCCUUGAUUUUAGUUGCCAGCAUUUAGUUGGGCACUCUAAAGUGACUGCCGGUGCAAGCCGGAGGAAGGUGGGGAUGACGUCAAAUCAUCAUGCCCCUUAUGACCUGGGCUACACACGUGCUACAAUGGAUAGUACAAAGGGUCGCGAAGCCGCGAGGUGGAGCUAAUCCCAUAAAACUAUUCUCAGUUCGGAUUGUAGGCUGCAACUCGCCUACAUGAAGCCGGAAUCGCUAGUAAUCGUGGAUCAGCAUGCCACGGUGAAUACGUUCCCGGGCCUUGUACACACCGCCCGUCACACCACGAGAGUUUGUAACACCCGAAGUCGGUAGGGUAACCUUUAUGGAGCCAGCCGCCGAAGGUGGGACAGAUAAUUGGGGUGAAGUCGUAACAAGGUAGCCGUAUCGGAAGGUGCGGCUGGAUCACCUCCUUU